UUUUGUUUUCCCUCUGAUAUUUUUCCUCUGUCUCAGACACAUACCCCAAAUGACCCCAAUCCCCUCUCUCUCCUCUCAGACCCCAAACCUCAAUCCCCAAACCCCGAACCUCUAACCUCUGUAAGUCUCCCUCUCUCUUCUCUCAGACCUCAAACCCCAAACCAUAAACGACUGAACCCCAAACCUCUGUAAGUCUCCCUCUCUCUUCUCUUAGACCGUUCAUCCUCUCGAGCAACGAAGACCUCCGAUCAUCCUCUCGGCAGCUCCAUCGUAGGCGGCGUCCCCACCUCUCCAAUCAUCGUAGGUGGCAGAUGACCAGAGUGAGUUGGAAAGAACAUAAGCAAGAAUAAGUGUUGCUGCUUCCUUAAAUUUCCCAGCCUUCUCAAGAAAAUCUAUCACAACUAGUAUAUCUCAUCUGAGGUAUUGUGUUGCCUCUUGCAGAUGCUGUGCAUUACAAAAAUGAAGAUGUGAUCAAACUUUUAGAGGAACAUGGUGCAAAGCCUCCGAUGGCUCAUCACAUGAACGUUAUAAAUGCACGCGAAGUCCCCGAGUAUGAGAUUGAUCCCAAGGAGCUUGUUUUAUCUCAGAAAAUGAUAACCAAGCCACACCCUCGUGAAGUCACCACAUCCUUCCCUCACUCACGGCCUUACCUCAAUCCCAGCGUGUGCUUCCCCAUUGGCGUGCUCGUUCGCGAUUAGCACACGCCUCACAAUCCUGUUGCGGGAGAAAAAAGCAAGAGAAAGGCAAUCUUAAUGCCAAAGUUGGAAAGAUAGCUGGCCAGAUAGCUGGCCGUGUUGAUGUUAAUGCCCAAAAACGUAUCACUACUCUGGGGGAGGCAUAAUCCUGGGAUACUGACUGAUCAGCAGUCUGUGCUUGCUCAAAGGAGAGGAAAGCUCGCAAUAUAUAGGAACUUGAGCGAAAAGUUCAGACUCUUCACACAGAAGCUACAACUCUAUUUGUCCAACUCACACUCUUCCAGGCUAAAACUCUACUUGGAUAUUUAAGAGAACCAAGACAAUUAUAUAAGAGAACUAAGACAACAAGAAAUUCUUCUUCAAGUUGUUGGGUAUUAUUUUAUUUCUUUCUUGUAAGAAUUAUGUACAUUGAGGAUUUGAUGUGUUAUUUACAUUGAGAAUAAUGAAUUUCUAUUGAGAAUUAUUUAGUCUCAUUGGGAUUUGAUGUAUUAUUUAUAUUUCAAUUGUAUGAGUAAUUGUUGUAUGUAUAUGG